CUCAAUUGGCCAUGCUGUCUGCUUCCUGCUCAGGACUUCUGAUUUUGUUGAUAUUCAGAGGGACCAAUGGAGACUCCGUGACCCAGACAGAAGGCCCAGUUACCCUGCCUGAGGGGGAAGCUCUGACCUUGAACUGCACUUACCAGAGCAGCUAUGCAGCUUUCCUUUUCUGGUAUGUCCAGUUUCAAAACAAAGAGCCUGUGCUCCUCCUGAAGAGCUCAUCAGAAACCCAGGAGAUGGACAGCAGAGGUUUUCAGGCCAAUAAUGUUAAGAGCGACAGCUCCUUCCACCUGAAGAAACCCUCAGUGCAGCUGUCAGACUCGGCCGUGUACUACUGCGCGAUGAGAGACACAGCGAGAGGGACUGCGGGGGGAGCCCUGCACAAACCCUGA